AGAGUUUGAUCAUGGCUCAGGACGAACGCUGGCGGCGUGCUUAACACAUGCAAGUCGAACGAGGUCCACUGCGUAGCAAUACAAGGGAAGACCUAGUGGCGAACGGGUGCGUAACACGUGAGGAACUUGUCCCGGUCUCUGGGAUAACAGUUGGAAACGACUGCUAAUACCGGAUGACGUCGGAAUCUCGCAUGGGAUACUGACGAAAGGGUUACUGGAUCGGGAGAGCCUCGCGGCCUAUCAGCUUGUUGGUGAGGUAACGGCUCACCAAGGCAUCGACGGGUAGCUGGUCUGAGAGGAUGAUCAGCCACACUGGGACUGAGACACGGCCCAGACUCCUACGGGAGGCAGCAGUGGGGAAUCUUGCGCAAUGGGCGAAAGCCUGACGCAGCAACGCCGCGUGCGGGAAGAAGGCCCUCGGGUUGUAAACCGCUUUCAGUAGGAACGAAAAUGACGGUACCUGCAGAAGAAGGUGCGGCCAACUACGUG
rnacentral:rRNA from 1 species